rnacentral:rRNA from 1 species
GUGGGUGAUCUUCCCUGCACUCUGGGAUAAGCCUGGGAAACUGGGUCUAAUACUGGAUAUGACCUCAGCAUGCAUGUGCUGGGGUGGAAAGCUUUUGUGGUGCAGGAUGGGCCCGCGGCCUAUCAGCUUGUUGGUGGGGUAAUGGCCUACCAAGGCGACGACGGGUAGCCGACCUGAGAGGGUGACCGGCCACACUGGGACUGAGACACGGCCCAGACUCCUACGGGAGGCAGCAGUGGGGAAUAUUGCACAAUGGGCGGAAGCCUGAUGCAGCGACGCCGCGUGAGGGAUGAAGGCCUUCGGGUUGUAAACCUCUUUCAGCAGGGACGAAGCGUGAGUGACGGUACCUGCAGAAGAAGCACCGGCUAACUACGUGCCAGCAGCCGCGGUAAUACGUAGGGUGCGAGCGUUGUCC